rnacentral:rRNA from 1 species
UACGAAGGGGGCUAGCGUUGCUCGGAAUCACUGGGCGUAAAGCGCGUGUAGGCGGCUCGGUAAGUCUGCUCUGAAAGCCCGGGGCUCAACCCUGGGAGGCGGGUGGAUACUGCUGAGCUCGAGUCCGGAAGAGGCGAGUGGAAUUCCUGGUGUAGCGGUGAAAUGCGCAGAUAUCAGGAGGAACACCGGUGGCGAAGGCGGGUCUCUGGGCCGAUACUGACGCUGAGGAGCGAAAGCGUGGGGAGCGAACAGG